rnacentral:rRNA from 1 species
AACCCUUGUCCUUAGUUACCAGCACGGUUAUGGUGGGCACUCUAAGGAGACUGCCGGUGACAAACCGGAGGAAGGUGGGGAUGACGUCAAGUCAUCAUGGCCCUUACGGCCUGGGCUACACACGUGCUACAAUGGUCGGUACAAAGGGUUGCCAAGCCGCGAGGUGGAGCUAAUCCCAUAAAACCGAUCGUAGUCCGGAUCGCAGUCUGCAACUCGACUGCGUGAAGUCGGAAUCGCUAGUAAUCGUGAAUCAGAAUGUCACGGUGAAUACGUUCCCGGGCCUU